ensembl:misc_RNA
UGCCUGGUCUUCAGGAGCUGAGGAAUCGGGAAACCAUGCAAUUGAGGCGAGCCUUGUGCUGUUUUAGAGGCGCUGACAUCCGAGGAGACUUCUCCUGG